UAUUUUAUUUUAUUUUAUUUUAUUCAUUUAUUAAUUUUCUUUUUUUUUUUUUUGUAAAAUAUAAAACACUAAUUAUAACUAAACUGUAAUAUUUUAUUUCAUACGUGUAUAUUUUACAUUUAUAAAAGACCAAUAAAAAAAUAAAAUAUUGAAGUUUCAUUUUUAAUAUAUUUUAUAAACAUCCAAUAUAUGCAAUUAUAUAUACGUAUAUAUACAUAUGUAUAUAUAUUUAUAAAUUUAUAUAUUUAUUUGCUUAUUUUUAUGUAUGAAAUUGCAAAAAUAAUAAAUACCUUUUUUUUAAUUGUUAAGUAAUAAACAUGUACACGCAUGUAUAUUUUGUUAAUUAAAGCAUUUUGAAUUGUUAUUUAUUCAAUGCCUAAAAGAAAACGUAAAGCAACAGAAUAAUGUAUAAUUCUUCGUUAUUAUAUAUUUUUUAAUUAAAAAAACGAUGUGUUGUAGUUUUCGCUUUUUUUUUAAUACAUAACCUUUUCUUAACAUACAUUUUCUUAUUUUAUUUUGUCAAUAUUGUUUUAUUUGCAUUAUAUAAUUUUUUGCUUAGAUUUAUAAUGCUUAUAUUAACAUUAUUUUACAUCUUUCAUUUUUUGUUUUUUUUUGUAUUUUAUUUUUGUAUAUACACAUUUAUGUUAAUUGUAGUAUUCCUACUGUCUAUCCAUAAUUUUUGUAAAAAAAAUUAUUCUGAACUUGAUUAUUGUGCAACAUCACUUUUUCAAGAUUAAAUGAUAUUUUUAAUGUUGUUUUUAAGUUAUUACAUUUUCAUUAUAUGAAUAUGUUUUGUUUGUAAAGUUAGGUAUAAUUGUUGUUUGUUUUUUAUUGUGUAAUGCAAAUAUAUAUACUGCACAAAAAAAAAAAAAAAAACAUAAUAUGAAAUCAAUUUUGACAACGAAAUGAAAAUCUUGAAAUAAAUAGUAAUAGAUUUUUGUGUAAGUAUAUGUUUUUUUUUUUUUUUUUUUUAAUUAAUGCAUGUAUAUAUAUACCUUGCAUAAUUGUAUUUUAUUCUUUUUCGCUUUUUUUUUUUGAUAUUACAUAUAUAUGUAUAUAAAUAUACAUACAUAUAUACAUUCUUACAUAUCUAUAUACCUGCAUACCUACAUACCUACAUACCUACAUACAUAUUAAUUGUUAAAUUAGUGUGUUACACUUUAUCAUUUUUGUUUAAUAAUAUUAAUAUUAGUUCAUUUUCAUUUAAUACCAUUGACAUAUGUAUAUACAUAUCUUAAUAUUCUGAUUGAAUAGUUUUUGUAUAUGUCACACAAAAAAAUAUAUUGUUGAAGUUUUAUGUUUAGAACAUAAAUAAACAUUAUACUUUGUUAUAUUUCGUGUUCAUUAUUUUUGAGGGUUUUUUUUUUUUUUUUUUUAAAUAUAUUGUUUAAAUAAUAAGUUAUAGUUUAUUAUAUAAAAAUAUUAGAAAUAUUAUCUAAAAAAAAUAAAAAUAAAACUUAUAAAAUACAAACUAAAUAUAAGCCAUCGAAGUAGUCUACACAUAUAUAUAUACAUGUGAACACGCUAGCCAAGUGAAAUAUAUCUUUAAAUAUAUUAUAAAAAAAAAAAAAUAAAUAAUAAUUACAAAAAUAAAUUAAUAAAUAAAAAAUGGAUGAGGCUGUUGAUAGUAAAUUUUUUUUUCUAAAAAGCACAGAUGAAAUAAUUGAUUAUGUAAAUAGUAUGCAUGAAACAGUUGAGCAAAAUAACAAAGAAGAAGCAAACAUAGGAAUAGAAAAUAAUGAUGAGAAAUGUGAAUCAACAGAUGAUUUUAAUUAUAUUCAAAAGUAUAUAACAUCAAUUUUUGAUACCAAAACUAGUGAAGAAUUGUCAAACUCAAACGAAGAUAUAAUGAAAUGUAUUAAUGAAAGUGAUGAAAGCGAAGCAUAUAUUUUAAAUUGUCGUACGCAAAACAAUAAUUCAAAUGUUGAAUGGGAAUUAGAUAAUACAUACGAAUACGAUAGUACUGAUAAUGAAAAUAAUAACACGUUUUUAUCAGCUUUGUUAAAUAAACCGCCAGGUCUAAGAGAACAUCAUAAUUCAUUAAAUUUGGAAAACAAAAUAAGUAGUGUAAAUAAUAUGAAUUUAAAAAAAACUUACACAAAUAGUAGUUUGGUGAAUCACAAUAUUUUUAAUAAUAAAAAAACACUUCAGCCAUUUUAUUCAUUUAGAAAAAAUGAUUAUAUAAAUUCAGCGUUUAAAAAAAAUAAAUUUUCCGAAAAUGCUAAAGAAAAUAAUACGAAAAAUAAUAUUAUAAACAAUAAUUUUGCUAAAGCCAAUGAACUUUUAAUUAAUGAUGAUGUAAGCAAAAACAACAUAAAUAAUUUAAAUAAUAACAAAAAUUUGGAACAUUUGUUAUCAAAUUCAAAUAGGAAAAAUAUCGAACAAAAACAUAAAGAAGAAAAAGAUGAUAAGAAUAUAAUUGAAAAUCAGAUAAUAAACGCCACCGGUGGUAUAAAAAGAGUAGAUAACAUGAACAUAUUAAUAGGUGAUGGUAAUGUUAAUAAAAAAGGAAUAAGUAAUUAUGUCGAAGAAUAUGAACUAUUUGACAAUACAGAUAAUAAAUCUUAUAAAAGAAUAGAAUAUAAUGACGAUAUUUACAAUCGUAAUUUAGAAAUUGAGAAUAUAAGUUCUGGUUUUAGCAACCUUAAACAAAACAAUUUAUUAAAUAAUAAUGAAAAUGAAAUACAUGUACAUAAUUCGAAAAUUGGUAACGAUAGCACUUUGAAAAGUUUAAAUAAUUUUACAAUAAACAAAGAUAAUUUACAUUUUAUUUCAAAUUUGAAAGAACAUAUAAAUAUUACAAAUAAUCACAACAGCAGUAGUAAUAAUAGUAGCAAUAAUAGUGUCAAUAUUAAUGGUAUUAACUCUUCUGACAUAAUUCAUACUAUGCAUAAAAAUUGUAAAUAUGAAAACUAUGAUAUUAAUAAUAACAAAAUUGAUAAUUAUAAAUAUAAUAAUAAAUUGAAUGAUGAAAAAUAUACAUGUAGUAAUUCAGAAACAAAUGUUCAAAACAUGAAUGAAAUGUACCAUGGAAGGGUAAAUAAAAAUGAAAAUAUUUUAUUAAAUGACAAAACUAAUAUAGAUAAAUAUACCAACAUGCAUUUAAUGAAUGCUUAUACAAAUGAUAAAAAAUUAAAAGAAAAUAAAUUAAAUAGUUUAAAUAAUAAUAAUAACAACAUUUCUUAUGAUAAAUAUUUAGAUGUAAAUAAUUAUUUUAAUAUUGAUGGAAAUGUUAUAAGAAAUUACAAUACUCUAUUAAAUCAAAUUAUAAACCAACAAGAAAAGGGACAUUGUGAUAAUAAUAAAAGUUAUUGUGUAAAAUUAAAAGAAAAUAAUCUCAAUUUUUGUUUUCCAAACCACUUGCACUCUUCUGAUAAUAAAAUUUUUCCAGACGUAUCGAAUAAAAGCUUAUUUCAAAAUAAUAAUGUGAAUAUAAAAAAUGUUAUUAAUAAUGCUAACAACAAUAAUAUUAACAACAAUAAUAUUAACAACAAUAAUAUUAACAAUAAUAAUAAUAGUAGUCAUAAUAAUAAUAGUAGUCAUAAUAAUAAUAGUAGUCAUAAUAAUAAUAGUAGCCAUAAUAAUAACGACUUAUUUAUGCAUCAACAGACAUUGACAUAUUUAAAUAAAAAAAUUCAGAAACAAGAUGUGAAUACUAUAAACAACGAUAUUUACAAUUAUAUGAGAAAACAGUCCGGUAAUGUUGAAGGAAUCAAUGGGUAUAAUAAUAAGUAUGAACAAAACGCGGAUAUUGAAAAGGAAUUAAAGUUAAAAGAAUUGGAAAAUAACUUAAUAGAAAAAAAUAUUAGUAUAAAUUCGAUAGAAAAGAGUUUGAUUCCAAACAAAUCAAACUAUUAUGAUGCAACAGUAAGUAUUAAUAAAAACAGUUUUUUAAAAAAUAAUUCAUUUAUUAACACGUUUUGUGACGGUAGUACUGCUAGUGCCGCUACUACUACUACUACUACUAGCAAUAGUAAGCGUGAAAACGGUGGGAAACAUAACUUGUUAAAAGAUAAGAUAAAAUAUUUAUUAGAAAAUGAAAAUGAUGAUGUUUUACUAAGUAAACAUAUUUUAAAUACCUUAGAUGAACAUUAUAAAAAUAUAUAUAACAGGAGUGAAAAUAGUUAUACAGAUAACUGUGAGGACUUAAGAAAAAUUGAAAAUAAUACAUUUGUAGGAAAUAAAGACACAAACAAUAAUUCAACGUACGGAAAUAUGAAAAGCAAUAUACAAAAUAACAAUUCGAUAAUAGGUGGUGGUUGUCAUAUUGGAAAUGAAAACAUAUUACAACAAAAUACUGAAGAUUGUAAUAACAAAAUAAAAGAGAUAGAAAAUAAUGAUAUUUUAAAUUUUAUUUAUAUUAAGGCCAAGAGUGAAAUGCAUAACAAAAAUGAGACAACUUAUGAAAACGAAGAAGAUAGUUUUUUAAAAAAAAUGCCAUUUGGAGAUGAAGUAACAGAUGAUGAAAAUAUUACGAAUAUAUAUAACAAAAAUAAUAAUAGUAUAAAUCUGAACAAUUUUGGAAUAAACGAAAAUAGAAAUGACUAUAUAAUUAAUAAUAAUAGUAGUAACAACGGUAAUAACAACCACAAUAACACGUAUAAUAACAAAUACAAUACUAAUAAUGAGCUGUUAGAGUAUUAUUUAAAGCAUUAUAACGAAUUAAGCAAAAAUAGUAACAAAGAGCAAGAUACAUUGGAUUUAGAACAAUUAAGGUUUUCUGCAAAUACUAAUAAUAGUAGUAAGGGUGAUAAUUAUAACCACAAACAUAAUUUAACUUUAACUACUUCUACCAGUAAUAAUGGGAAUGACAAUAAUGGGAAUAUUAAUAAGUACAAUACAUAUACUUUUAGUAGUAGUAAUAAUAUUAAGAACGACAUUAAUAACUAUGAUAAAAAUUAUGUUAUUAACAAUAAAUUGCAUAAUAAUAAUAAUAAUGCAAUUUCGAACUCAGUUAGUUUAGGAAUAAAUAAUGAAAAUGACAAUAAGACUAAUAAAUUUGAACAAGUUCAAAAUGAAUCGAACAAGAAAGAUGCGUUUAUAGGUAAUAACUUAGAAAAGAAAUAUAAAAGUGAAGGAUACAAUAAUUUUGGUUUCAAUAAAAUGAAUACAUAUGUCAAAAAUAAAACUGGUGCAAAUAACAAUGUUAGAAGCGACAUGGGUAUAAGUAAGUAUAACCAAAAAAGUUUUUUUAAAAAUAAGGAUUUGACUUGGGAAAAAAAAAAGUUUCUUAUGAAUGGCCUCGGACAAAAUUUAGAUGGUAUGGAGCUGGAAAACGAAAUAAAUAAGGUAAAUGAAUAUUUUUACAACAAAACAAAAGAUUCAGCUUUUUUUUUAAAAAAUAACACACUUUUAGAUAGCGAUAAUGAUAAUAGUACUUGUACUAAUACUACUACUACCAAUAAUACUAAUAAUAAUAAUAAUAAUAAUAAUAAUAACAAUAUUACUACUACUAAUAAUAAUAAUACUACUACUAAUAAUAAUAAUAAUAGUAACAAUAAUAACCAUAAAAAUAAUAGUAAUGCCUGGUUUAAGAGUAGAACUAUAAAUGUGGUGAAUAAACCAAGAUACAAAAAAACAUAUAACAUGUUUGAAGAAAUUACAAAAGGUUAUCAAAAUAACAAUGAUAAUAAUGAUGAUAAUGCCACCAGUACUGGUAAUGUUCCUACUACCAACAAUAGUAAUAAUAAUAGUAAAAAGUACGGUAAUAAUAAUAACAGUAGUAAUAAUAACAAUAGUAAUAAUAGUGGUAAUAACUAUUUAAGCUUAAAAGAAAAAUAUAGCAUGUCGAAAGUAAAAAAGCUAGUAAAAAAAAAUACAGAAAUAAAUGAAUUACCAUUAGAAGAAUUAAAAGCAUUAUUAACAAAAGGGCAUGAACUGAACUUACAUAGAUUAUUA
ensembl:lncRNA